UACGAAGGGGGCUAGCGUUGCUCGGAAUUACUGGGCGUAAAGGGCGCGUAGGCGGCACUGUUAGUCAGGCGUGAAAUUCCUGGGCUCAACCUGGGGACUGCGCUUGAUACGGCAGAGCUUGAGGAUGGAAGAGGGUCGCGGAAUUCCCAGUGUAGAGGUGAAAUUCGUAGAUAUUGGGGAAGAACACCGGUGGCGAAGGCGGCGACCUGGUCCAUUACUGACGCUGAGGCGCGACAGCGUGGGGGAGCAAACAGG
rnacentral:rRNA from 1 species